AGACCGUGUCAAAACGGAGCCUCCUCCUCUCCGGCUGUCCUCAGAAUUAGAAACCAGCUGCCAGGAAGUGUGGCCACAAGCAGUACAGAACUCUGACCAGAGUUUUUCAGCUCCUGGUUUGGCUGGACCAUUGCUCCCCUUGGCACCUCUACGAUCUAUGUUGUCACCUUUGCCAGACAGCCCACUGCAGCUCAAAGAUGACGAACAAUUGAAUUUCAGAUGCUCCAGAGAUUCUCCUAAGUGUGAAGCCGGUAAUGAAUCUGAUACCAGCGCAAGGAAAUGUGGUGAAGAUGAAAAACUCC